rnacentral:lncRNA from 10 species
UCAUAAAAAAAAUCAGAUGAAUUUUGUCUGCGGAACAUUCUGCAAAAAUAUCUGACCAAGCUGGGGAUUGUGGUAUGUGCCUUUAGUCCUAGCUACUCCGGAGGCUGAGGCAGGAGGAUCACCUGAGCCCAGGACUUUGAGGCCGCUGUAAGCUAUGAUCAUGCCACUGCACUCCAGCUCAGGCAACAGUGAGACCCGGUCUCAACAAACAAAAGAAAAUAAAAGAAUGGUAGACAAGGAAAGCAGUUGAACAGCUAUGCGAGAAGCCUACUUUCUCUUCAUGUAACACGUUGGCCUAAGAGAUCUAUAGAGCUUUUUAAAAACAAAGAAGGCAGCAAGAUUUAAAAUAAUAAAACCAGCAAUAGGUAUUUUUAAAAGUGAGAGAAACUAUCAGAGAGCUGUAGCAGAAAAGCAAGUUAAAAAUAAAGGAAACAGAAAAGGAACUGAUACAGCUGAUUUGAUACUGGAAAAAUCACCCAGGAGGCAGCGUGGACAAUGGAUUGGAGAAG